rnacentral:rRNA from 1 species
GAUGAACGCUGGCGGCGUGCCUAAUACAUGCAAGUCGAGCGAACAGAUAAGGAGCUUGCUCCUUUGACGUUAGCGGCGGACGGGUGAGUAACACGUGGAUAACCUACCUAUAAGACUGGGAUAACUUCGGGAAACCGGAGCUAAUACCGGAUAACAUAUUGAACCGCAUGGUUCAAUAGUGAAAGGCGGCUUUGCUGUCACUUAUAGAUGGAUCCGCGCCGUAUUAGCUAGUUGGUAAGGUAACGGCUUACCAAGGCAACGAUACGUAGCCGACCUGAGAGGGUGAUCGGCCACACUGGAACUGAGACACGGUCCAGACUCCUACGGGAGGCAGCAGUAGGGAAUCUUCCGCAAUGGGCGAAAGCCUGACGGAGCAACGCCGCGUGAGUGAUGAAGGUCUUCGGAUCGUAAAACUCUGUUAUCAGGGAAGAACAAAUGUGUAGGUAACUGUGCACAUCUUGACGGUACCUGAUCAGAAAGCCACGGCUAACUACGUG